CACGUGGUCGAAAGAAAGCUUAAAAGGAGAGCACUCGCAGUGCUCCAGCCUUUUCCUGCACCGGUCGGCCUGCCUGGUCACGGCCGGACUGGACUACGUGCAUGGUACGUGCUCCAGUCCGGCCGAGGCCUGGCUUUGCUCUUCGCCACAUUGUGAAGACUGGGCCGGCUAACGUACAUUUCCGUUUCCUACAAGCACAAGGGGACCACGUGGUCGAAAGAAAGCAUAAAAGGAGAGCACUCGCAGUGCAUCAGCCUUUUCCUGCACCGGUCGGCCUGCCUGGUCACGGCCGGGCUGGACUACGUGCAUGGCACGUGCUCCGGUCCGGCAGUGGCCGGGCUUUUCACUUCACCACAUUGUGAAGACUGGGCCGGCUAACGUUCUUUUCCGUUUCCUACGCGCACAAGCAUCUGAGCAACGGACAUACCCGUAUGCUCUCCCCCUGGGGUGCACAUGGACACGGCGAUCACCGGGACCUUCUUUCAUGGGCGCCCCCAUCCAAGCGAAGGCAGCUAGACCUCUCUCAUGCACCGAGAUUGCCGAAUGGGGGAACAUUGGAUCACCGACUCUACGCCGCCUGAUGCUGCCUUCGAUGGUCUACAGUGGGCUUUGUCCAAGUGCUUCUGGCCUACGCUCUCGACUACCUACCAUGAACCAACCGUUUUUUUCUUUUUUUUGAGGCCUGCGAAGCGAUAACUGCGAGCUAAACUAGUGUGGACUUCAUAUUUCUCCAGGGGGACGAAGAAUGCAAGCGAUUUUACUUUUCAAGAAAUAAAUACACGACUCUGUUUUACGCUU